AUGCCUCAGAAUCCCGCCCCCUCCAACUUGCCCCUCCCUCGCUCUGCAGCGUCUGCGGAGCAAAAACACGCCCAAGCAGCAACAUCGAGCUCGACGUCUCAGCCAAGGCGCCUGGGAGACAAUCCCUGCUCCUCCUCGGUACCGAGGCAGACUCCAGCAGCCUCCGCCACCGCUGAAAGGGCUGACGCCGAUCCCGGAGAAGGUGAAGACCUCUCAGAAGGGGAAGUCCCUACCUCCCCCACAGAGCUCCCCUCAGAACCGGAACCCUCCGUGCCUGAGGAGUCGAGGGGGUUCUCAGCCUUGUUGAUUAGGAUGGCCCGGGCUCUAAAACUGUCCAUUCCACAACCUGCGAAGGUAGUGGAAAACCUGAUGUUCCCAUCCUCCCAGCAGCAGGACCCCCCCUCCACGACUUUACCAUCGCUUCCUUUCCUGCUCCAGCUGAGUAAAGCGUCCGGUGUGGCCCCAGCUGCAGUACCAGCUACACCCAAGAGGGCAGAAAACAUCUAUAAGAUUGAUUUAUCUGCAGCCCCAUGGCUAGCGGGCCAGCCUAAACCAAACUCUAUUGUUGUCAGUGUGAGUCAGCCAAAGCCCUCGCAAAGGGCUCAAGUAACACCUUCAGAUAAGGAGGGGAAAAAGCUAGAGGGGAUGGGAAAGAAAAUAUACUCCUCCGCUUGCCUAUCUACAAGAAUGGCUCACUAUGCAGCUUACAUGGCAGGAUACCAGAUCUACCUAUGGGAUAAGAUGGCUGCAUAUAUUGACCUACUCCCAGCGGAGGAGCAAACCCUUGCGCGCGCCUUCCACCAGGAAGCCUCCACUCUAAGCACCUUCCAAAAGGAGCUUGCGAAACACACUGCGGAUUCCGCAGGUAAACUUCUGGCAGCUGCAGUAGCCCUCCGACGCUAUGCCUGGCUGAGGGCAUCGGGGCUCUCCCAAUCAGCACGCAAUGUUAUAGAAGACUUACCUAUGGAUGAGGCGGGUUUGUUUAACCCGGAAACAGAUUCCCAAUUGGAACACACCCAAAAGAUGAGGCAGACCGCUCAUAAGUACGGCUUCUCUCCUUACCUUUCACAGUAUCACAGACCAUACUGGCCGUCACGCUUUCAAUAUAACCGGCGCAGACCGAGCUCACCGCCAUUUCGGGGACGCCAGCGCCCUCAACCACGCCCGGCCACAUCCAGGAAGCCUCCGACCCCCUACAGAGGGCAACAGCGAGGGGGAGGUAAACAAGGAGAACGCCAAAGGCGUCGCUUCUAG
rnacentral:lncRNA from 1 species